UCUCAUCUCUUACCACCGGCCGAAGGGAGCUCCGUGCUCUCCUGCAGUACACCUCUCCUCUUUCCCCAAGGCGACGAAAAUCACGAAACGGGGACACACCAUAUGGCCAGGGGCUCCUCCAUCGCUGCUUGGGUCAUCGGUGGCGGUGUUGGCAUUGAAGGAUGGGGCGGAAAUGCCAUUGGAGUCUUGAAAAAGCAGCUCAUGCAGAGGAAGAGGACGCGCCCGGCGUCGGAGGAGGGUGGGCGGGAGACGAUUGUUCUGUUGCAGGUACGUGAACAGGCUGUCUAGGUUGACACGCUGGCCUCCUCUAGCAGCCUCUCUGCCCCGCGCUAGCUCUAGCCCCUCGCUUGCUUCCUCCUGCGAUGUUGGUGUUCAGAUCGCAUGCGAGGUGUUCUAGCAAUUGACCAAACUGAGCCAAGCAUGAGCAUGAACGAUGGUCACGUACUUUCCUUCGUCAAGUAGUGCAGUACUGCACCAGAAGCGACGUUGGCCGAACAGGUGGAGGGCAAGAGGCCACAUAAGGACUCUUGCGUCCCAAAUGUGAGUUUCAGGUUCACAGUAUGGAUGGUGGAUUCUUUCUUCGGUGGCCAGACCAUCCAUGUCAAGCAGCGGCAUGAGAAGAGCUCCGGCGAGGUCAUCAUGUGCCGGUGCAUCUCACCUUCAAGCACAUGCUGCAGACUCCGACUAUUCUUUCUUUGCUGGAUGUUCGGCGUGCUGAUGCUGCAUGGAAGUAUUCGAAGUGAAAAAAAAUCUUCACAUACCUUCCUGUAAGUGCAUCUCCCCGUCUUAAUUUGGGUUGCUCUCGCUGUCCCACUUACCUAUUCUGCUUCGCCCAUCAUUCAGAGUUAGGUUGGUUCAUGAGAUCAGAUAAUGUAUUGUCGUUUAUUUUACCCAACUGCUACAUUCAAGAUCGAGGAGUACAAGUGUGUAUUGAUCUGAACACAAAGUGUUACAAUAUUCAUGUUGAGCUUAUCUCAGAUUAUGGAAGUAUCUACAUUCAAGAUCGAGGAGUACAAGAUAUGUCAGCCUGCACUUUUGGACCAAAACAGUUUUACAUGGGCUUCUCUGGAGGAAAAGGAAACCCCACCUAAACUUUUAGCUUUCCGUAUAUGUGAGAUUACUUGCUGAGUUUUCCCACAUGAUAGCUUUUCUUAUGAAUUCAUGGGAUUUUAGAUUUUAAUCA